AGAGAGAGACAUGCGCGCAUAUCAAUAAGCGGAGGAAAAGAAACUAACAAGGAUUCCCUUAGUAACGGCGAGUGAAGCGGGAAGAGCUCAAAUUUGAAAUCUUCAAGGUUUUACCUUGACGAACUGUAGUUUAAAGAAGUGUUUUCUGCUGAAGUUUUGGUAAAAGUUCUUUGGAAUAGGACAUCAUAGAGGGUGAGAAUCCCGUAUUUGACCAUUAUUUUCAGCUUUGUGAUACACUUUCAAAGAGUCGGAUUGUUUGGGAAUGCAGUCCAAAAUGGGUGGUAAAUUUCAUCUAAAGCUAAAUAUUGGCGAGAGACCGAUAGCGAACAAGUACCGUGAGGGAAAGAUGAAAAGAACUUUGAAAAGAGAGUUAAACAGUACGUGAAAUUGUCAAAAGGGAAGCGUUUGACACCAGUGUUGUUUUCUCGAAAAUCAAUUAAAAAUGGCUCGAUUUUGUAUUGUUGAGACCUUAAAAGCUCACUGUACAUUUUUCGUGUCUUUUUAAUGCACUUUUCGUUUAACAAGUCAACAUCAGUUUCUUUUGUUGUAAAAGGGUCAUUGGAAGGUGGCUUUCUUUUCGGAGAAAGUGUUUAUAGCCUUUGGCCUCUGCAAUCGAAGAGACUGAGGUCUGCAGCGUAGACUCUUCGGGGUUAGAUACAUUUGUGCUAAGUUAUAGCUUUUUAUAGACAACUUGUUGACUAUAAUUAGUCUUGUAGCUUACUCGCUUAUGCUAUUUUACCUACGCUUAGGAUGUUGAAGAUGUAGCACAUCAU
rnacentral:rRNA from 1 species